AGUAUUUUUUAACUUUUAUUAAAAUUAAUAAAUUAAUAUAAAAUA
rnacentral:tRNA from 1 species